rnacentral:tRNA from 1 species
AGGGCUUAGUUUAAUUAAAAUAAUUGAUUUGCAUUCAAUUGAUGUGAGAUGUGAUCUUGCAGUCCUUA